rnacentral:rRNA from 1 species
AACGCGAAGAACCUUACCUACUCUUGACAUCCAGAGAAUUUAGCAGAGAUGCUUUAGUGCCUUCGGGAACUCUGAGACAGGUGCUGCAUGGCUGUCGUCAGCUCGUGUUGUGAAAUGUUGGGUUAAGUCCCGCAACGAGCGCAACCCUUAUCCUUUGUUGCCAGCGAUUCGGUCGGGAACUCAAAGGAGACUGCCAGUGAUAAACUGGAGGAAGGUGGGGAUGACGUCAAGUCAUCAUGGCCCUUACGAGUAGGGCUACACACGUGCUACAAUGGCAUAUACAAAGAGAAGCGACCUCGCGAGAGCAAGCGGACCUCAUAAAGUAUGUCGUAGUCCGGAUCGGAGUCUGCAACUCGACUCCGUGAAGUCGGAAUCGCUAGUAAUCGUGGAUCAGAAUGCCACGGUGAAUACGUUCCCGGGUCUUGUACACACCG